rnacentral:rRNA from 1 species
GAUUCAUUUUCAUUCCGUUUUCGUUUUCAGAGUUAUAACCAAACGAGGACUAAAUCUUUUACUCAUAUAAAAUUUUCAACGUAUGAUACUAUGAUAAAUGCAUUAGGGUUUGUUAGGGCAACUACAACGCGAACAAUUCAUCAUAUAAGAGAUUGAAAUGAGGAAAGGAAAGUUAGGGUAUGUUCAUGUAAAAAUUCGAUACAUAAAGACCGUAGAACGAGGGUAAUGCAUGAGCAUACAAACGCACAUGAGUAAUAGACUCAAGUCCGACGCAAAAACAUGGUGGAGUUUCAUAUUAAAAUCAAUUCACAAUAGAAGUAAAAAUUCACCAACCUUAUAUAUUAAGUUCAGAAUGUUUUCACUUUAGACGUGAAAACUUAUGAUCUUCGACAAUUUCUAUCCACUCUAUAUUGCGUUAAUAUUUGCAUUAUGGUUAUAUAUUAGGACGAAACUGAAACCUUUUUCUUGUUGUACUCUUUGACGGCAAACUGCGCAAGGGCCACGAUCUCAGGAUUGGUUGAUGCCCCCGGCACCGGUGUGAUUCCUCCCGUCGACAUCUUUCUUCACCUUCUUCUUCCUUGAUCGACUUGUGAAGUAUGUAUACUGAAAUAUAAAUUAUCGAUAGUUUUCUUGCCUUUUAUCGCAAUGAAAGAAGCUUUGUCAAGUGCUAAUGAACCGAUCGUGGCGUAUGUAGUACAAUUCAAAUAAUGAGAAUAACGACUCUUAAUAAAAAUCAAAUAUUUAAUCUUUAUAAUUAACAUUUUAAAGUUCAAUGGGGUUAAAAGUCAAAUAUUAUAUUACUAUAUGAUGAUAUUAGAACAUAUAGAGUCUUUUGGCAGUUGGCAUUGUGAUUGAAUGCUUCUCCAAUGUUGUAGAUUGUGACAUGGUACUACAAAUUCAUCUUUUUGAAAUCAAAUAUUGGAGAGAAUAAGUAUUUCGAGUAAUAAUUUGUCCAUUGCGAAACACCAUUUCUACCAAAGAAAACAUGCGCCACACCUAUUUUUAUCUUUGUUUUCUAAAUAAAAACAAUAAAGCAAAAAUAUUUUUAAAUAUGUAUACUAACGAGUAUGAUAUUAAUAAAAUCAUUCUUUACCUUUAACAUACCGCUAAGGGUCGUAUUGUUAUUAUUUCAACAACGAUGAUGGUUUCACUUGGCCAAAAUAAGUAGCAAAGAAGAUAAAUUAUUGUCUCACCGAAAGGAAAAAAAAAAAAAGAAGAAGAGAGCUUCUUAACUUCGAUGCAGAACGUUAUCGAUUGUAUGCAUAAGAAAUUUGAAGUAGAACCAUAUAUUUUGGUUCCGGUGAGAACACUUCCUGGAUGGACUGUAGAGGAGGUUGACAUAAAUUUUGUUAUUUUUUUUAUAUUUAAUAGCCUUUUUUAUUACGUUAACUAUCUUAAUUUUGAGAUCAAUGUUUAUCUUUUUUCUAAUUAUAAACAAAGUAAGCGUUCAUUGUUUUACGAUAAGCAUUCAUUAUAAAAAAUGAACUAGGAGGGCGAUCCUCCCGAUGAACCGACGCAGGUGAGCAAGUAUAGUAUACUAGGGCACUUGAGAGAACCAUGUCGAAGGAAAUCGGCAAAAUGACCGCGUAACUUCGGGAGAAGGGUUGAUCUCUUAUCUUUUGAUUGGAAAGCGGUACAUACUAGGGGUAGCGACUAUUUAUUAAAAACACAAGACUUUGAUAAGUGGUAACACGAUGUAUAGAGCCUGACACCUACCCGGUGCUGGAAGGUCGGAAGGAAAAGUGUUAUAAGCUUUGAAUGGAAGCCCCGGUAAACGGCGGCAGUAACUCUCAUUGUCCUAAGGUAGCAAAAUUCAUUGUUGCAUAAGUAGUGACCUGCACGAAUGGUGUAACGACUGCCCCGCUGUCUCCGACAUGAACCCGGUGAAAUUAAAUUCUCCGUGAAGAUGCGGAGUACAAACGGCUAGACAGUAAGACCCCUUGCACCUUGACUAUAGCUUCGCAAUUACAACUUUGAUCGAAUGUGUAGGAUAGAUGGGUGGUGGUGACACACAAUGACCAAUCCUGAAAGACCGCUCUUUCGUCUAAGGAUGUCUAACCUCCGCACCAAUCAUUCGGGGGAAUUAAGGCGGGACACUACGAGGUGGGUAGUUUAUCUGGGGCGGAUACCUCCUAAAAAGUAACGGAGGUGUGCGAAGGUAGGCUCAAGCGUCUAUUCUGCUCGUGAGCGUAAUCGUAUAAGCAUGCCUGAUUGCGACCCUAAUGGUCGAACUGAGACGAAAGUCGUCCAUAGUGAUUCGAGAGUCCUGAGUGGAAGAGCUCUCGCUCAACGGAUUAAAGGUACGCCGGAUAAUAGGCUGAUGAAUCCCAAGAGUUCUUAUCGACGGAGACGUUUGACACCUCGGACUCGAUUCAUCACAUCCUGGGGUUUAAGAAGGUCUCAAGGGUUCGGUUGUUCGCCGAUUCCAGUGGUACGUGAGCUGGGUUUGGAACAUCGUGAGACAAUUCGGUACCUAUCUACUGUUGGUGUUUCAGGGAGAAAUGCGAGGAGCCAUCUAUAGUACGAGAGGACUAGGUUGGGCCAACCUAUGGUGUACCAUACCAGUUGUUAUGCCAAUAGCAACGCCUUGAAACUAAGUUGGUAUGGAAGAAUUUCUACGCCACAAGAAAAUCCUUCUUUAUACAAGUUUUGGAUGAGGUUUUUGGAAAAAAAAAAACUUUGAUAGGCGAGAGGUUCAAGCACCAUGAGGUAUGAAGUGAUCUCUUACUAAACAAAACGACUUUCACUU